rnacentral:rRNA from 1 species
UACGGAGGGUGCGAGCGUUGUCCGGAAUCACUGGGCGUAAAGGGCGCGUAGGCGGCUCGUGAAGUCAGUGGUGAAAGCCCAGGCUCAACUCUGGGUCGGCCACUGAUACUCGCGAGCUCGAGUUUGGUAGAGGCAGAUGGAAUUCCGGGUGUAGCGGUGGAAUGCGUAGAGAUCCGGAAGAACACCGGUGGCGAAGGCGGUCUGACUGGGCCA